rnacentral:rRNA from 1 species
GACGAACGCUGGCGGCGUGCUUAACACAUGCAAGUCGAACGGAAAGGCCCUGCUUUUGUGGGGUGCUCGAGUGGCGAACGGGUGAGUAACACGUGAGUAACCUGCCCUUGACUUUGGGAUAACUUCAGGAAACUGGGGCUAAUACCGGAUAGGAGCUCCUGCUGCAUGGUGGGGGUUGGAAAGUUUCGGUGGUUGGGGAUGGACUCGCGGCUUAUCAGCUUGUUGGUGGGGUAGUGGCUUACCAAGGCUUUGACGGGUAGCCGACCUGAGAGGGUGACCGGCCACAUUGGGACUGAGAUACGGCCCAGACUCCUACGGGAGGCAGCAGUGGGGAAUAUUGCACAAUGGGCGGAAGCCUGAUGCAGCAACGCCGCGUGCGGGAUGACGGCCUUCGGGUUGUAAACCGCUUUCGCCUGUGACGAAGCGUGAGUGACGGUAAUGGGUAAAGAAGCACCGGCUAACUACGUG